UACGUAGGCAGCAAGCGUUGUUCGGAAUUACUGGGCGUAAAGAGCGCGUAGGUGGCGCGAUACGACCGGUGUGAAAUCCUCCGGCUCAACUGGAGGGGGUCACUGGUAACGGUCGUGAUGAUGAGUGCAGGAGAGGGACGUGGAACUCCGGGAGUAGCGGUGAAAUGCGUAGAGACCCGGAGGAACACCAGUGGCGAAGGCGGCGUCCUGGCCUGCGACUGACGCUGUGGCGCGAAAGCUAGGGGAGCGAACGGG
rnacentral:rRNA from 1 species